rnacentral:lncRNA from 1 species
ACUUGUUGCAAUCUCUAAAAAGACUUAUAUUUGGAAACGGAGGGAGUACAACACAUGCAUGCAUGCCGUGACUUUCCUUUUGAUACUUGCAUGUGUUGAUUUGAUGCACCUUGCCAAAUUUUGACUAUAAAUUUAACUAGGGAAAACUUUGUUUUUGCCACUCUAACUCUUGCCCACUUCGCUUAUGCCAUUCUAGAAUUUGACAUCUCACUUUUGCCACUCUUAACUUUUGAGAAUAUAUCACAAAUGCCAUUCUAUUACACAUCCGUGAGUUGACUGUUUAUUCUAGCGAGUUGACCAGAAAAAGACUUGUCGGUAUCUGUAAAAUGACAUACGGUGCCCCUACUGACUUGUGGGGCCACUUUGCAAGUGACCCAUAACCAAAACUGUACACACACAAGUAAAAAAAGUCUAAACACACACGAACUACUCCGAUCCAACCACAGCAUACACCCAUCAAAUCCAUGAGAAUAACCUACCACAUUGCAUCCCCCGGCCGUCCGCCGCCACGUCCACACCUCGCCGUCCGCCGCCCCCUCCGGCCUCCCCGGGUCUUCUCCAGCAUCCCCUCCACGCCCUCCUCCUUUGGCCUCGCCGAAGCCUCGCGCAUAUCCGGUCUCCCCUCCGUGGUGCCCUGCUCCGGCCUCGCCAACGCAUCGCGUAUCUCCGGCCUUCCCUCUGCAGCAUCCUUCUCCGGCCUCACUCCUCGACGCGUUCCACACCAGCGACUGCCCUCCCUCCGCCUUUAGCAGAUCCCAUGAAGUGAAUCAAGCACACGGGAUGGAGGGAGCCGUGCCGUCGACCAUGGCGGCAGGGGCGGCCUAGAAGACCUCAAAUCUGAUGGUUCCUCUCCCUGAUGGCAAGUUCUCAAAUCAUACAUUUCCUUAUCUUAUAGAUUCGUUAUGUGUACAUCCAUAUUAGUGUCCUGCUUGGCAUCUUUUUUGUUAUAAAGGGAACAUGUUGUUGAUGUAAAUUUGGCACAAUGACGGUCUCAGUAUAUCCCCAGUAUAUUAAGAUGGAGCCAGGGCUGUUAUAUCUGUAGUUAUUUCUGAUUAGUCACAAGGUGAUGUCCAGUCUUUAACACUAUAGAUGUUAAAUGGAUCUGGCUAAUAUAAAGGAUCACACUAUAGCACUUAUGUACUUGAUGAAUAUUUUUGGCAGUGGUGUCUCCAAGCAAACAGGUUGCCAAUCUUCUGUUUCUUCAUCUUAUAGUUGGGGUUGGUAGUGGUGUCUAGUUAUACACAUGCCCUGUUCCGUGAGUGAAGAACAAGAACAACUAGGGACCUUGCUAUUUAGAUUGGAAGAUGGAUUUGUACUCCUAUGAAGUAAUUUGUUGAUAUUUAGAAUUUCUUAACCUCUUUACUAUGAUGUUAUUAUUGUGCUUAUUUCUGGUCAAAAUAUUGUGUAAUUAUGUGUGAUGUUAGAUUUUCAAAUAGGUCAUGCCAAAAUUUGUAUACCAUCAGCUAAUAAUAUAGUGAAUAUAUACGUUACUCUAAUGGAAAAAUUAAUAUUUGGCAAAAAUAGGAGUGGCAAAAGCAAAACAAAUAACUGACGGCAAUAUGGUCUUUUUCAUGCUUCGUUUGGUCAAAACGUCCAUUGACCUAACAGAAUGGCAUUUCUGAUAUAUUGUCAAAAGCUAUAAGUGGCAAAAGUGAUAUGUCAAUUUUUAGAGUGGCAUAAGUGAAGUUGGCAAAAACUAAAGUGGCAAAAACAAAGUUUUCCCAUUUAACUAACCAAAUUUUCAUGCAUGUCACAAAAAAUUAUGGGGAUGUUUGGAUUGUGACUAUGUUUGUCUUAUGUUGCCACAUUAUUUUUCCCACACUUGCCACACUUGCCUAACCUGAGUUGCUCAAAUUGUUAGACACACUUUGGCUUGUCUAAGGGAAUCUUGCCACAAUUUUUGUGUCUAUGACAUGUGGGGUUCACUGCUAAUAAAAAAAUUCUUUUCUUAGGUGUGGCUAAUAAAAAAGAAUUAUAUUUAGGAACUGAGGGAGUAGAAAAUAUAAAUAAUAAUGCAUGUUGGGGCAACCCACGUUUCCGCUAAUUUUAGCCGUGGGCUUGUUCACAAUUUUUACCAGGGGGUGGUUGUUCAUUUAAUGGAGGGACUUGUAGUACCAGACUUGAACGAUACAAAGUGUGAGCUGGCACACCGUAACACCACUUGGAACAAGAGGGUAGUUAUCUCAAAAAACAAUCAUCAACUAAACAACUGCGACCUAGCAUGUAGUAGUACACAAUUUUAAACGAUUGUUUUAAUGGAGGGAAAAAGGAAAACUACCCCACUACGUAUAUAUAGGCUGAAGCCUCCGCGCUUGCUUGCUAGGGUUGCUCUAUUCACACACUCUCAUCCUCUCCAGAUCUAAACAAGAUAGGGGUAGCAACACUGUCUUCCUCCCUUCAAAAAACACUGGCUUUCUAUCCACACCGCUGGUUACAUAUCCGGACGUAUCCCCCUCCAUCGGUGAAGGGGAGGAGGGGCAGCGUUUAGGCCAUCGUCGACAGCGAGGGAGGAGACCCACUGCCGGCCGCACCAUUAUCUCUGGCUGAGCGCCAGUGCGGGAGGUCCUCCGAUCCCUUCGUCGUUGCCUAUGGGCGGAUCCGGCCUCCCGCCGCCCACCUAUCCACAUCCCGACGACCUUCAGGUAUAUCUUCGUUCGAAACCGCCUUAGCUCUACUUCCCCAGCUCGCUACGUCGCUGCAUGUGCAUCAUUUUCUACCUCUCAGUCCCUCUCGAUCGGAUGGUCAAACGUCACAUUUUUUCUUCUAUUGUUAGAGGUAAAUCUACUUCAUGGAGUCGAAUCUUGUACUCCCUCCGUCCGAAAAUACUUGUCAUUGAAAUGGAUGUAUCUAGAUGUAUUUUAGUUCUAGGCACAUCCAUUUUGAUGACAAGUAAUUCAGGACGGAGGGAGUACUUGGUUCAAACAAGAAAUAAAGUGGGGGUGGGGGAAUUUAGUAUGUACAUUGGACUUGGUACAAACAGGAAGGAAAGGGGGUGAAAGUAGUAUAGACUGCUCAUCCAACCGGUCUCUUGGUCGAAAAGGGAAAUGUAGGGGUAACGCUGUACACAGUGGUAUGACCAGGACUAGAUUUGCUAUCCACACAUAGGAGUAGGUGGCUAGAGUGAACAAAAAUGGGACCAAACCAGAUAUGUUUCUUGGAUGUUUGUUUCUUGGGGCAACAAACUAUGAAUCGCCACUUUAUGCCCCUGUUUACGUACAUGGUGCUGGACUGCUAGUGCACCCACUGUCCCAUGUCCUUAUACCAAAUAUUUAGGCUCCGUUCGGAAUAAAGAGGCAGAAAACAUAGGUCUUGAUGAAAAUAGAGGAAUAGGAAAGGAAUGUAGGUAUAAAACUAUGGAACAGCGAACCGGAGGAAACUCUCAAGAGAAUGUGUUCGGAUGGACUACAAAAUGUACAGAUUUGUUUUUUUAGAGUAGCAUGCUUGGCAGUAUGAGAUGCUAUUUGUUUAUUCAGCUGCACGGUGACUACUCUUGUCCUCACCUCACAUACCACACAUAGGUUGAUUUUUUUAUUCCGGCAACACAGCACAGCAACCUGUCUAACGCAUGGCAGCGAGCGUCUGCCUCGGGCUUCCGCCCAAAAAAAUGAGCAGCGCAUAGAUGCUUCUAAUCCUAUGGAACUAGUACUACCAGACCAGCUUUCCUAUGAAACCCUAUUCACCUUUCCUGUGUUCCGAACAGUUGGAAGGGAAAGAAUACCGUAGGAAUUGGGUUCCUACGAAAAUCCUGCACCAAACCAGUGAACCGAACGCAGCCUUAGUUGUUCUUAAUCUAAUGUCCCUGGUAAAAAUGAAGCCAUGCCACUGUUAUAAGACAUGACAAGUUUAGCCAAAUGUUUUUGCCUGUAAUUGUUUGAGACUCUGACUGUUUCCUCUGUGCCUUUUUGUGCAAACAGGGAUAUCCAAUUCACCUGGUUGCUGUUGUGACCUUUUGGUGCACUGCACAAAACUCUUCUUAAAAGAAGUGACUUUUGUGUUGUUUAACUGGAAUGUCAGAAUGGAACAGUUGGUUCAUUUUGGUGGAACUGCACAAAGGGAGAUCUAUGUUCCAAUCCUCAUCAUCCAUAUUGGCGCCAUAACCUUCCUUUAGGUAAGAACGAUAUUUGAUGCAUGUGUUCAUCUCUAUUUUCCGACUGCCAUGAGAAAAUAAUGUUGUUUUUUUACUAGUACACUUGUACUCCCUCACUGACAAAACCAAUUCUGAAUUAGAAGGCCAAUCAUGUACUUGGUUUCACCAACUGGUGAGGAGAAAGAGAAACAGAGCAUCAAGAGGAAGAAGAAGAAGAAUAAACAGUGCCAAGGCGAUCUUGCUGAAGCCAGAGGCCUCAGUCGAGGCCAUUCAAGGGCUCUGGCAACGACUACCUUACAUUGAGACGAUCCUCCAGGGAGCCCUUCCACUUCUGUUGUCUCACUUAAUUAAUUAGGAGUACUUAAGUACCACUAAUUUAUUACUGCCUAAUUUUCCUGUUGGAGUUAAACAAAUCUUUAGUAGGACCCUAUGAUGAAUCAUGUAUGUGUGUAUGUUUGUCUAUGGAGGUGAAUCAUGUGGUGGAGCAGGGAGGGAAUAUUAUUAGUGUCAUGACAUAAUAGUGCUAUUGUUUUGCAUGUCAAUUUAUUGCCAUUGGUUCAAUGAGGCAAUGUUUUGCAUAUUGUCCAUCAUGAAUUUGAUGCUACUGUUUGAGUAAUAUGCUAAUGUCUUCCUAUCCUUUCUCACUAAGCUAAUGAAGGUUUCACCUUGUUCCUACUUGUGCAAACAUGGAUGAUGUUGUGCCAAUCAUACAUUUUAGUGGAACUACACAAGACAAUACAAUGAAUUGUAUCCCAGCCAGUGCUUUAACUCUGCUGGAAGUUCUUGAUAAUCUUUCGAUAUAAUCUCAGCACUGGUAAACAAGAGUGAUUUCAAUCAUACAUUUGAAGUGCACAAAAAUAUAUACUAUUGUGUGAUUCCAGUGAGUGCUUUAUCAUCUCUUAUGAGACUACAUGAAUAAGCUUUUUUCUCAGGUUGGUACGGGCCUAAGGCCUUCAUCCAUAUUAGUUUGUUGUCAUCUCUAUUUGUAUCGUGCUACUGUCAUGAGAAACUCCUUUAUCUUUGCACGUUAAAGUUUUGCAACCUAUGAUAAAUGGCAAUGCUUUGAGUGUUGAUUUGAGCUAAUUGGCACUGAUUAAGUAAACUAAUACCUCUCUUUAAGCAAGACUACUAUGUUGCUAACUUUACCCAUUAAGAUAAUGAGGGUGCUUCUAUUUGUUAGUGUAUGUUUCAUCAACUAGUCCCACUAUUAUAGUAAUCUCACUCUCUCAAUAUAUGUGCCAAUAGGGAUGCUCGAUUUUGGUGGAACUGCACAAAAACUUUGGGUGCUUCAUUGCCUCGAUAGCUUCCGUCCUUUCCUGUCAGUCGCUAAUCUCCGCUUGCUUUCUUCCUUUGCUGUCAGUCGCUUGGCUUAUCUCGGAUUCUAGUCAAAGGAAAUAGUAAUUGAUAUGCUACCUCACACAGGUUGGUACUGGUCUUUAUCAUGAUUAUUGUGCCUAUCAUGUGUAUUGGUAAUUUGGUAUUGUGCUACUGUUUGCCGAUUUCAUAAAGGAGUAAUUUGGAGCCUGAACUCGCAGGCAAAUCAUUACAUCGGGUGAUUUCAGUAGAACUGCACAAAAUGAUCAGAUGGACAGAUACUUAUGUUGCUGCUAUGUACUCCAAAGUUCACUCAAACAAGCAUCGAUGUUGACAAGAAGUGCCUAUAUUCAUUUGAGUAUCAACCGGCAUCAACCAAUUGUCAAACUCCAAGUAUUAGGAGAGUGAACGCCAAAAAUAUUGCUUGGUGCAUAGCCCAGAGAAACGCAGUCCAGUCUUUGGUCCCAACUUGUGCCUUUUGGUUAUCGGCACAUAUGGUAGCGAACUAUAUGACAUGGAGUCUAAAGAUUCCAAACAAGUUGCUUGACGCGUAUAUUCAUCUGGCACUUAAUCAGUCUGCAUGCCAAGGAUGCUCCAUUUCAGUUGAACUUCACAAAAAAUUUGGGUGGUUCAUUUUAUCAACCGCCUCCUUUCUCGUCUGUAAUGUAGAAUUUUGGCGAGAUACAGGACCAAGAUGAUCCAGUAAACUAGUUGGAUGAAAGUAGUGGCCAAGUUGCUCAAACCUCCCUCGGCACGAGGCCACUAUUUGAGGAUAAACCUACAAGCAAAGUUUAAUUGUCUAUGCUGCCUCUUAUGUACUCAAAAGUUCACUCGUACAAGAACUAAUUUUAGCAAGAAGUACCUCCGAUUGAACACCAUUUACCAGUCUGUACCCUAGGUAAUUAAAGUUCAUCCAUGGAUCAUAUAGGCUGUGAUCUCAAUCAUUUGGAUGCAUAAACAUAAUGAACAUUUGUAUAUCUGAAUCUUUUUGUGAAUUAUGUAUGAAUAUUGUCGUGUGAUCUAUCAAUCAUUUGGAUGCAUAGAUAUGCUGAGCUUGUGUAUAUAUGAAUCUUUUGAGUUGUUGAUAGUGAAUGUUGGCUAUGAAUAUGAACGUGUCCUGUGAACCUGAGUUUGAUAUGAAUUUUUACCUUUUCUGUUGUAUUUGUGUGUGAACUUAUUAGUAUGCCUACUGUGGGGUAUAAAACGCAGGUCUCUUAUAAAAGUAAUGAUGUGUCCAAUUUAUGUUUUCCCUUCUAACCACAUUAUAUAUAUUUAUAUUAUUACUAUUAUCGUAUAUUUUAUAGAGACUUAUAUAUACAUUAUAAAAACAUCACAUGUGUUAUUAACUUAUAAAAGUAAAUGUUUAACGGAAGUUGGCAAGGAAAAUCCUGGUUGUUUUUGACUCACGGGCAAGGAAAAUCCUGGUGAAUGCAUACAAAAGCUUGCAAAGAUUUUAAGGACCAAUUUAAUAAUAACACGCUCAUUUUUAUUUUGAGCAAUAACUCGCUAAUUUCUUAAUUAUAUAUAUAUAUGUGCCUCUCCGGUUUAUUCUUUGAUAUUAAUUGCUCCUUCUAACAUAACAUUAUAUAUAUAACGAGCCCACCUAAUACGUGUAUUUCAAAGAAGUGCAAAUGGGCUGGGAUUUCUUAGAAAAUAUAAAUGGACCUGAUUGACGCAAAAUUAUUUGUUCACCCAGCCUAGAAAAUGGACUGUACAUUCUAGAAAGCAUGGGUUAAAUAUAUGCCACAUUUUUGUAGGCUGACAUGUGGGCCAAUAGGUCGAAGCCUACGCAGGGCAUUGUCAACUUGGUCAACAAAUGAUUGUGUCAUCCACAGCCAUUGGAUUUAUAUCCAAUGGCCGGCAUGCACCUUCAAUCUCUCGUCUUCUUACUCCAGUGUCGCAGGGACCGCCUGGUCCGGCCUCCGGCAGCUAGCGGCUCUGCUUAGCACGCAUCGCUGCGAAGCACUACCCCACCGCCGGCCAGGCUAUCCCUCCACCCCUCGACACCUCCUGUUAUUCUCCACAGACUACGGCCCCACGCCACAACAGAACCAGUUAUAACCCUUCUCCUCCUCUCAAUCUGCGACUCCACUGCCGCGUUUUCCCAUCUCCGAGUCAUUCCCGUCCGGGGCCUCGCCGUCGUCCACCGCCUUGCUGCGUUCGGUGCGGCGUGGUCAACAAACGAGAGUCAUCGGAAGAGGACUAUACGUGGAGAGCCUGACGGCUAGGACCCACGAGGUCCAAGGCCGCAUGCAAGGAAAGUUCCUCCUUAUUAAGCUGAAAAAAAUGUUUCCUCCACCUGACAGCUGGGACCCACCGGCUGUAUCUUCGCAUGGAAGGAAGUGCCUCCUUGUUUUGAGAAAAAAAAUAUUCAUCCCAUUGACAACUGGGACCCGUCAGAUUUGGUGACUGACUUGUGGGCCUACUAAGCGGACGUGUACGCACGGCUUUGUCAACUUAAUCAACAAAUGAUUCUAGCAGCUGGACCGUUGGAUGUUAAUCCAACAACCGUGCUCCUUCUUCAACCUCUGCUCUUGCUCUUGUCUCCCGUGGGCGGCACCGCGGCUGUGCUAUCGCGCACCCGAACUAGUGAAGUUUCCCACUCCUAUCCAUCUGCGACUCCACUGCCCCGUCUUCCCCAUCUCCGGGUCAUUCCAGUCUGGGGGCGCUCGGCAUGGUGUGGUCAACGUGGUCAACAAUCAAGAGUCAUCGGAAGAUGACUGUACAUGAGAGGCUGACAGUGGGGACGCACCACGCCCAUGGACGCAUGCAUGCAACAGAACAUGGCGAGGUCAACAUGGUCAAGGAACGACUUCCAUCGGAAGUAUACUGUACGUGGAGAGCCUUAGCUGGGUCCACGGCCGCAGCAAGUAAGUGCCUCCUUAUUACGCGGAAAAUAAUGGUUCCUCCAACUGACAGCAGGGACCCACUAGACGGGUCACCGUAUUUUGUGAAAAAAAUGUUUGCCCCUGACUGCUGGGACCCACCUGACGGGCCACCGUAUUUCGUGAAAAAAAUGUUCCCCCCGCUGUCAGCUCGGACCCACGGGAGGUGCCUCCUUAUUACGCACAAAAAAAUGAAUACUCCCCGGGCUAGCUGGGACCCACCUUGGUGGGAGGCUGACUUGUGGGCCUACUAAGUUGACAGGGAUGAAGGGCUUUGUCAACUUAGUCAAUAUGAAUGAUUCUAGCUCCAGUGACCGUACGAUGUCCAUCCAAUGGCUGUAGUGCUUCUUCAACCUCUGGUCUUCUUGCUCCAGCCGCCCAAAGCAGCGCCGGUCGUGCCGCAUGCUCCUGCCUCCCGUGGCCGGCUGUGCUGCCGCGGAGGCCUCACCUCCCCCUACUAUUCCCACCGUUGGCUAGGCCUUGCGGUGACGGUAGCCUCACACCGCAGCCGAACCAGUGAACCCUCGUACUCCUCUCUGCGCGGGCUUCCACUGCCGCGUCUUCCCCGGCUCCGCGUCAUCCCCUUCCUAGGCCUCGUCGUCGUCCACCGCCGUGGUGCUCUCCACGCGGCAUGGUCAACGUGGUCAAGGAACGACUUCCAUCGGAAGAGUAUUAUACAUGGAGAGGCUGACAGCUAGGUCCACGGCCACAGCCCAGUUUUGUUGUGAUUUUCCAAGUAAGUCGCUUUGUCAGGCCUGUUGAGCUGCAAAUCUUUCAAGACGAGGAGAGCUUUCAUUAGGCUCGCCGAGAAAAUGGCCCAUCAGUAAUGAGAAAUGGGAUGUACAUUUUUAAAACACAUCGAACCGGCAAUUAGUUUUAAAUAUCUUUUUUUCAUUUUGAGAUUUUAAAUUACAUUAAUUUUUAUGCGUGGAGAAUUUGUUGGAUUUUAUAUUGAUAUACAUUUAUUUUUAAAAUCAGUUUGAAUGUGAGUCGAAAUUUCAGGAUUAAAAACAGUUCGGACCGCACCGAAAUAUGCAAAAUUUCGUAUAAUUUUUUAACCGUGGCCACAAUAUGGGAUGUAAUGCUAACAAAAAGAAUAGGGUUUUUAUCAUUUUUGCCACUAGUUGUGUCCCACUACUCAGUUUUUCCAUUAGAAGUUACAACUACUCAAAAAUGCCAUCGAUCCGUGAGAUGUUUGCUCAAAAAUACCAUCGUUCCGUUAGAUGUUUCCUCAAAAAUGCCAUUAGACAUCAUUAUUUUCACAUCAAACUCAUUGACCAUGUUAUAUGACAAAAAUAAGCCUAGACCCACAUGUCAGUUCUCUCUAUCUCACAAUGAUAAGUGUGGCCCACUUGUCAGGAGUAACCAAGCGAAUAAUUUUAUAGAAAAAUAAGAAUGCCAUUGGGAUCAAGUGGGCCCCACACUUUAUUGUAGUAAGAUAGAAGGAGAGCUGGCAUGCUGGUUCAUAGGUAUUUAUGUCAUUAUAACAUGGCAAAAGAGAUUUGAGAUCACAAUAAUGGUGCCCAGUGGCAUUUUUGAACAUGUGUCUAACAAAGCGAUGGCAUUUUUGAGUAGUUGAAAUUCCUAGUGGCAAAACUGAAUAGUGGGACACAACUGAUGGCAUAAAUGAUAAAAACCCAAAAGAAUAUGGGCUCCAAAAAAACCUUAAUAAUUAGCAAAUGGGCUGUAAAUUAUUAGAAAUAAUGGAAGAUGGGUUGUAUGUUGUUUUCCACAGAUUUGAGGCUUUCCUAAAAAAAGGUUUACGCACAAGCAGUGACUGUUGGAUGGCCAUCCAACGGUCGCCGUGCUUCUUCAAUCUCUGCUCUUCCUGCUCCAGCUGCUCAAACAAGCGCUGGCGGGACUGCCUGCUCCCUCCUCCCCGCGGCCGGCUCUGCUGCCGCGCAGGCCUCACCGCCCCAUCGUACUCCCAUCGCUGGCCUAGCUAUCCCUCUACUCACCCACACCUGUUGUUAUUCUCCGGCGACGGCAGACGAACCAGUAAACCCUCAUACAGUCGUACUCCCCUCCACGUGGGAAACAACUGCCGAGUCUUCCCUGCCUCCGUCUCGUUCCCUUCCUAGGCCUAGCCGUCGUCCACCACCCUGGUGCUCUCGGCGCGGCCUGGUCAACGUGGUCAACGACCGACAAGCAUCUGAAGUGGACUAUACGUGAAGAGGCCGACAGCUAGGUCCACGGCCGCACGCAAGGAAAUGCCUCCUUAUUACGCGCAAAAUAAUGAUUCAUCCACCUGACAUCAGGGACCCACCGAAAGGGCCUCUGUAUUUCACGAAAAAAACAUUACCGCCGCUGACAUCUCGGACCCACCAGCUAUAUCUUCGCAUGCAACGAACUGCCUCCUUAUUACGCACAAAAAAAUGAAUACUCCCCCUGUUAGCUGGGACCCAGUAUAGUGGCAGGCUGACUUGUGGGCCUACUAAGUUGACGAGGACGGAGGGCUUUGUCAACUUAGUCAAUAUGCAUGAUUCUAGCUCCAGUGACCGUACGAUGUCCAUCCAACGGCGGUAGUGCUUCUUCAACCUCUGGUCUUCUUGCUCCAGCCACCCAAACCAGCGCCGGUCGUGCCUCGUGCUCCUGCCUCCCGUGGCCGGCUGUGAUGCGGUGGAGGCCUCACCACCCCCUUCUACUCCCACCGCUGGCCAGGCCAUCCCUCUACUCACCCACACCCCCUGUUAUUCUACGACGACGGCAGCCUCACACCGCAGCGAACUAGUGAACCCUCGUACUCCUCUACGUGUGGGCAUCCACUGCCGCGUGUUCCCCGGCUCCGCGUCGUCCCCUUCCUACGCCUCGCCGUCGUCCACCGCCCUGGUGCUCUCGGCGCGGCGUGGUCAACAUGGUCAAGGAAUGGCUUCCAUCGGACGUGGACUGUACGUGGAUUGGCUGACAGCUGGGUCCACGGCCGUAGCAAGGAAGUGCCUCCUUAUUACAUGCAAAAUAAUUAUUCCUCCACCUGACAGCGGGGACCCACCAAACGGGCCACCAUAUUUCACGAAAAAAAUGUUUGCCCCUGACUGCUGGGACCCACCAGCUACAUCUUCGCACGCAAGGAAGUGCGCCCCGGCAAAAAAAUGAUUCGCGCCCCUGACUGCUAGGACCCACCAGCUACAUCUUCGCAGGCAAGGAAGUGCCUGACAGUCGGGACCCACCUGGUCGAAGCGUACGUAGCGUUGUCAUUCUGGUUGCCAAUGUGUAUGUACAUAUAUACUGGUGGAUGUAGAGGCGCGCACGUGUCGUAUUAAAGGCGCGUACGUGUCAUAGUAGAGGCGCGCACGUAGCAUGUACACGUACGUACAGCGGCCAGGGUGCAAGAAAGAAAAUACGGCCACGUAUGUGUACAUACGGGCGGGGUCUCGAAUGCCUACUCGCGCAUACGUACGGCCAGGGCUCAUGUACAUGGCUGGGUCGAAACAGAGAAAUAGCCUCGUCGUCGUGUUCAUGGGGAGGCAACGGAAUGCGUCGUGUUCAUGGGGAGGCAACGGAAUGUGUCGUGUUCAUGGGGAGGCAACGGAAUGCGCCGUGUUCAUCAGGAGGCAACGGAACGCGUGGGAGCCAACCGGCUGGGUCAAAACGGAAUGCGUGGUCAUGUUCAUCGGGAGGGCUUGGACGGAAUAGGCGAUGGAAACGAGGCCUGGCGUACUGCACAACGGAGGAACAAACAUCCUACGUUCGGAACGGGGUCCUGUUGAUCGGGAGGGGUGUGGCGUACCACAAAACAGAGGAAACGGACCUCCUACGGUCGAAAUGGGGGUCCUGUUGAUCGGGAGGGGUGUGGCGUACCGCAAAACGGAUGAAACGGACCUCCUACGGUCGAAACAGGGGUCAUGUUCAUUGGGAGGGGUGUGGCGUACCGCUAAACGGACGAAACGGACCUCCUACGGUCAAAACGGGGGUCCUGUUCAUCGGGAGGGGUGUGGCGUACCGCAAAAUGGGACUCCACGGGAUACUGUUCAUCUCCACCGUCGACCUCCUCCAGCCUCCACGGGCUACCGUCGACCUCCUCCAGCCUCCACGGGCUCCUGUUCAUCCAGCCUCCACCGCGCGCUACUCCACCGGCUACUGUUCAACCACCCCUCCAUGGGCACCCCUCCACCGUCUACUGUUCAUCCAGCCCUCCACACCAUGGGGUCUUGUUCAACCACCCCUCCACGGGCACCCCUCCACCGUCUACUGUUCAUCCAGCCCUCCACCACACCACGGGGUCCUGUUCAUCCAGAGGCAGCGCCACCGCUCACUGUUCAUCCAAACCCCCCAGCAACGCUCACUGUUCAUCCCAGAGGCAGCAUCGAUCGGCACUGUUCAUCCUAGAGGUAGCAGUAGCGAAGGAAUCGCUCGAUCGGGUUCAGUUAGCAGCAGUAGCGAAGGAAUCGCUCGAUCGGGUUCAGUUAACAGCCAUCGAUCGAUCGCUCGGGUUCAGUAACGUGUAGCCUGCAGUGCAAUCGCUCGAGUUCAGUUAGAGCCCAACGCCUCGCUCGGGUUCAGUUAGAGCCAACGCCUUGCACACAUGCACGUACGUGUACGAGAGAAACGUGCAUCGCUCGGCCCCCGACCUCCCACCAUAACCGGGAACUCCCCGAAAUUUUCCUCGCCCUCACUUCUACCACGGUUUUUUCCGUCAUGGACUGCCCAAAGAAUGUCAUGCAGCUGCAUCUCCGGCCCGCCCAGGACGAAAAGCCCAUUUUCUGUCAUGAUUUUUUAUCAUAGAAGUAGGAGCCCACCACAUCUAUGAUGAUACCGGGUUUUGUCACAAUUAUCGUAAUAGAAGUGUCAUAUGUAUGACAGAAAAAAAA